GACGAACGCUGGCGGCGUGCCUAACACAUGCAAGUUGAGCGACGAACCAGGGCUUGCCCUGGGGCAAAGCAGCGAACGGGUGAGUAACACGUGGGUAACCUACCCCGAUAACCGGGACAACCCGAGGAAACUCGGGCUAAUACCGGAUGUGCUCACUGGACUUCGGUUCAGUGCGUAAAGGAAGCUUCGGCCUCCGUAUCGGGAGGGGCCCGCGGCCCAUUAGUUUGUUGGUGAGGUAACGGCUCACCAAGACCGCGAUGGGUAGCUGGUCUGAGAGGACGAUCAGCCACACUGGGACUGAGACACGGCCCAGACUCCUACGGGAGGCAGCAGUGGGGAAUCUUGCGCAAUGCGCGAAAGCGUGACGCAGCAACGCCGCGUGGGGGAAGAAGGCCUUCGGGUUGUAAACCCCUUUCAGGAGGGACGAAGGUUCGGCGGUGAAUAGCCGUCCGGACUGACGGUACCUCCACAAGAAGCCCCGGCUAGCUACGUG
rnacentral:rRNA from 1 species